rfam:Neotoma lepida isolate 417 scaffold_537, whole genome shotgun sequence.
UGGCACCCAAUGUUGAGGCUUGAGAACGUGGAGGAUCGGUGAACAUUGCACACCAAAGCAGGCCUGCAUAUCAGUUGGACAACCAUGGAGAAUGCUCCAUGAGCGAAGGUCCGUUUCAGUGACCGCCACGGGGAUACCUGACCGUGAGACAGAUCCGGGGAGUUGAUUUGUGCUGACACAAGGUAACUUUACCAUGGGACAAGCAUUCAGUAAUCAGGAUUUAUUUAUUUCAGGACUUAAACAGUCUUUCAAGACACAAGGAGUAAGGGUUAAAAAGAAAGAUUUAAAAAAGUUUCUUGAUUAUAUUGGUGACCUUUGUCCCU